rnacentral:rRNA from 1 species
GACGAACGCUGGCGGCGUGCUUAACACAUGCAAGUCGAACGGAAAGGCCCUGCUUGCAGGGUACUCGAGUGGCGAACGGGUGAGUAACACGUGGGUGAUCUGCCCUGCACUUCGGGAUAAGCCUGGGAAACUGGGUCUAAUACCGGAUAGGAGCCAUUUUUAGUGUGAUGGUUGGAAAGUUUUUUCGGUGUAGGAUGAGCUCGCGGCCUAUCAGCUUGUUGGUGGGGUAAUGGUCUACCAAGGCGGCGACGGGUAGCCGGCCUGAGAGGGUGGACGGCCACAUUGGGACUGAGAGACGGCCCAGACUCCGACGGGAGGCAGCAGGGGGGAAUAUUGCACAAUGGGCGCAAGCCGGAUGCAGCGACGCCGCGGGGGGGAGGACGGCCUUCGGGUUGUAAACGCCUUUCGCUAGGGACGAAGCUUUUUGUGACGGUACCUAGAUAAGAAGCACCGGCUAACUACGUA